rnacentral:ncRNA from 1 species
ACUCUAGCUUCGCAGUGACAACCUCUUACGAAUGUGUGGGAUAGGUGGGAGGUGGGGAACUAUCAACACCACUCUUUCGUCUAAGGAUACCUAAUUGUUUCUUUCUCUAGAUUGAUUCUUAGGGUGGGACACUGCAAGGUGGGUAUUUUAUCUGGGGCGGAUGCCUCCUAAAUAGUCACGGAGGUGUGUGAAGGUAGGUGGCACUCGG